rnacentral:rRNA from 1 species
GAGGGGGGAGGAGGAAGGGAGCAGGCGGUGGCGUGAGGGAGGGAGGAGGGAGCAGCGGUGUGGUAGGCGGCAUCGUGGCGCGCGAGCAAGACAGCAGAGUAUAUGGUAGCGACGGCCGGGGACGGUACCACAGUGCCGCGAGAAGGACGCGGGAGCGCAGGCUGGAGUGGUCCAGCAGCUAGAGCCGGAGUAGCCGAACGACGCCGCCGGCGAGAGCUGCGGCAGGAACGCUGUGCUGUUGCCGUUUGGGCUCGCGCCUGUCGAUUACACCACCACGUCGCCUGCCGUCGGAAUCGCCCGCUCGCUGCCUCUGACGUUGACCACGUACUCGAGCGUGGAGUUACGCAGCCACGAACUUAUCGAGCGUAGAAGUGCCGGUGGUUCACGUGUCCGGUCAUCAAUUUAAAAGACGCCUACUCAGGAACAGCCUACCUACCACUGAUUGCUCUACGUGAAGAAACGGUGUUCAUUAAAAUUAUUUCCCUAACACAUGUUCCAUUCUAAUGGUCCGUAUUGACGUUACGUCGAUCGUUCACAAGGUCCUAACUUACAACGAUCUAAAGGGGUCUCCGUUUACAUACUGAAUGAACAACAACUGAAAGUAUCACAAGUCUAGAAAAGAACACUCUUCCUAUGUGUUUUAGUUCAAAAAACAGCCAUCCUCUAAAAAAGCGACAGGUUGACAAGUCAAGGUGACCUUGUUCCCCAGGUGACCUGAAGAUAACAAAGGCUUGAACUACACCUAUUUUAGUUGGUCUCAUAAUACCACUUUGGUUCAAAGUGGUGAACUGUUGAAUGUCCCGGAAAGUUCCUUAACAAGGACAGUCAUUCAAGAAUCAAAUACUAUAAGAAAUACUCUGACAAAAAAUUACAGACCAGUAAUUGAGAUAGUCAUUAAACGUCUUUUACUCCCCGGUUACAUACUACAAGUCACCAGAAGAAGUCCAAGACUUAAACAACACCAGAUACCUAUAUAGGAAUGUAGCAGGAAUGUACUUGGUAUUGUAAAGACCAAAUUACAGAAACAAAAGAUGUUGACAAGGAACUGAUUUAGAACCAAUCCGGCCGGUCUCGUGGUUAUAAGUCGGUUUUUACGUUAGGAGAAGUGCUCGAACCACUUCCGGUAAUAUUAUGCUAUUCUACCUUAGGACUUCCCACUACAUUCAGUACAUUGGAACGUUAUUAAACUAGUCGGCCAGCACGAUACAAGAGACCAGACUCACCCAUAUAUACGUGUGGGAAGACAAAUCAAACCAAUAAUCGUAUCGUUAUACGCAGAUUGUUUAACAAGUACAAGAAUCGUUAUAUAUAUAUAUAUACGUGUGGGAAGAUAAUAUCAAACUAAUAAUCGUAUCGUUAUACGCAGAUUGUUUAACAAGUACAAGACAAUAACGAACGAAAGUACAUUCUUUUUUUAGUACAAAUAGAACCACUAUAGGAAUUGGGUUCAAAGAGGUGAUUAAUAACAAUAUGAACCUGUACCAUUAAACGGACCACUAUAACAGUGAUUUUAAACAUAAUCUGUUAUCGGAAUUGUCAAUCUUACUCAUUUGUAAGACUAACCCCUUCAGAACAGACCAAAUUCUCUCGGAUACUGUCUGAUGUUUUCGUUUUUUCCCGUACGAAACUAUAAAGAAAUACACCAACGGUGUAUCGAGUGUCAAAAAAACAGGUCGAAAGACCCUGAUAAGUCUUUCUUUAAUCAUCCCUUUUGUUUCCGAUUUACCGUACACGCUACCAGCGGUAAAAGACUAUCAGUGAUGUCGAGGUUCCGAAGUUUAUCUAUUACUCAUGUAAAGGACGUUGAAAUCGUACUAUUACCUUUACCACCUCCUAGGAAUGUACUAAUAGAAGUAUAAAGGACCACGUCAAAUUCUUCUACACAACUUUUUGACAUAGUCCAUACAGCUGUCGUAUUGUCCAAAGAGAUAUUAGAUAUAGGGAACAACCAUGAUUUUUUAAUCGCUGUACAGCUUCUUUAUUUAUACGUUCGGGAGUGUAACGGGAGUACUAACAACGAAGACUUAACAUGUACAACUUAUCUUCGGUCUUAUAGGACUUUCUGAACCACUGUAACGACUGGAGUGUUAUAGAAACAUAUCGUAUUUUUACUUCUUUGUUUCUUCAUUACAAGGUCAUAUAAACGUCUCCACUUUAUAAUUGCGGUCAAGCUCGCGUGGCCGGAGCUACCGUUCUCUGGUGAUGGUAGUCACAUCACCAUAUCGUAUGACACUCGUUAGUCCUUGUUUUUGUCCUCCAAAUUAAAAGUGUUUAGCCAUGACGUAUAAAAAGUCUUCUAUACGUAACACUAACUUGUACUCUUUAGUAAAUGGAGGGACAUGAAGUUCCACACAAGACGAGAUUUUACUGUUCGUGGGUUGCUUCACUCUCGCGUUUGGUGUACAACUUCUCAAUAUACGGUGGACGAUCGGGCUACGUGUAAAAACACUCCGUCAUAUACUCCGAGGUCAAACUGGCACCCUCCCUCCUUUCAAUGCUUAACUGAUAAACAGUCUUUUUGACUACAUAGACAAACAAUAAGUGGCAACGACUAAUUAAAAGUUAAAAAGUAAGAGUCAUUUUGACUACACACGACUACCACCGUCCCUCCACACCACUCCUCUCGUUUAGACCGUUUACCGUUAUCUCGUCGUACGUUCGUUUCACAUGUGAGCACGAUACAAAACCUCGGGGCAGCUUUCCAAACCUCCGGGUCCUUCCAUCACAACCCCGCAGGCAGCCGCACUUACGCGAAGUUACUGAUCGUGGUGGCCUCACCGUUUCUCCACAUCCCUCCGGCAGCUUGUCGGCCCUCUUUCGUGGUGUGCUCCCAGACUCGUUCGUAUGGUCCAAAACGUCGUAGACGGGGGCACUUCCGGUGUUCGACUGCUGUACGGGACUAGCACCUCUACGUGGAUUUGUCGGGGCGUUUGGGCCUUUCACGUUCUUGACAACUUACCUUUCCGCGGCGUCCUUGUGCACGUGUGCGGAUGACCCACCACGUGUAUACAUCAGAUCUUCUAAAUUUUAAAGCACACAUUACACACUAAGUUCUUAAAAGACCACACACAACACUCGGUACGAGGUGCUAACAAGGAGGUCACGAAUUAGAAUCACGAUAACAUAAGGUAUCACAACAUACCAUUCAGACAUUGAGUUGUCUUGAAGUGUUAAUACUAUCUUUUUUACAACCCGCACUGUAGAUG